GGAGUUCUUUGAUCGGCGCCAUCAGAGUCAAAAGCCUGAAUGAACACCGUCAUUGUGCAGACUGGUGGAAAGAUAGCAUUGGCACAGGGAAGGAAACCAUGGAAACGAGAAGCUGAUGCACUUUGAAUGGAAAACACAGGACGGAAGUUUUCAGGCAUGACAGAUCGCAACAAAGACUGCUGAGUCCACAGUCCCUAAGAUAACGAAGGUUUGGUAAGAAUGCCUCAACUGUUUUAUAACUGCCGUACAUAUUUCUUUCAAUUAAUAUGUUCUAUAAUUUCCAUACAUAUUGUUUCUGUUGUUUUAACAUGUGUUUGUUGUGUUUGUUUAAAUUAAUUCAUGCAUGUUGAGUGCUUAUGUUGAGUGGGAACUAGGGUGCAUAUGUGUUGCACACGGACAUUUUUGAGGGAUGCAAUAGGAAAGAACGGACUUUUGGUGAGAGGUUGGUGUCUCUGCAUGUGAAUUUAAGUUGUGAAGAAGUUGCAAAGAAGACAAGAUGUUUUUUAUUUUUGUAUUUUGAUCGGGGCAUUUAAAGAACUCAUUCCCCCUUGGUUAUAUGCAGCCAGCGAGGUAUGUAAAGUAUGUUUGUGUUUCCCGAGUGUAUUUGUAUAGAGUUUUGCAAUAUAUGUGAAUGUGUUUAUGUUUUACAUUGUCAUACUGUAGUUUGAUGGUGGAUUUCAUUGACGGUGAACGUGAUAGCGGAGAAAAGAAAGAGAAAGGCAAUAAAUCCAUCAGUAUCCAGACCCAUGGCGUCGUUUAUUUCCCGGAGGGA